GUCGUAUUAAGUCAAAAUCCAAUCCAUGCCGUGGCACAGGGCACAGGCAGCGUAUGCUACGCUGUGUGUUCGACGCAAAGCGGGAAAUAUAUAAACAAAUGACUGACAAAGAGUAUUCCUUAAAAUUGUGGCAUGCUGAUGACCCACCUCCAAGGCACACACUCAAUCUCAGUCCUAUGUAUUUCAAAAGACUGCAGGGAACUGCUUCAGGUGACGGUGGACGUCCUACAUCUGAUAACCCCAGGGUAAACAGAAACAUCUCUGCUACUAUGGAUCGAAACGUUAUACUAGCUGGGUUUCGCAUCCUGAGGAGCAAUGGGCCUGUGUAUGACUGCAUUUCUGAUGUGGCAGUUUUUCAGGCGGCAAGGUUCGGGGACUUUCUGGAGAAUCUCCGUGACGCUGGGACAUGUUUUUAGAGUUGAAUGGAGUUGAAGAGUUGAAUUAAGAAGUUAGAAGUCAAAUCAAUUAUGGAACUGUGAGCUAAAGACAGUUUCAGUGCUGCUUGCUGUGCAAACGUAAUUAUUAAUUACAGAACUGGUACUUUCCAGAGCCCUUUCAGAAUGUCCUGAGCUGCCUGCACUGUGAGUUCUCAGUGUCUCACACCUCUAGCAGGUUCGUUAACAUUUAGUUUCUUGAGAUGUGCACUCCACAUUUUCGUUGCUGCUACCAAAGCGUGCAUCCAAUGGACAGUAGAGAAAAUCAAAGCUCCUGAUAUGCACAGGUUCCAGAAGGUAAGGUACAAAGUAAUGAUGAUGACAUUCAACUUGCAAGCAAAGAGUGUGCAACUUCCACAGGGUACCUUGGCACUCUGGGGCCUCCUUUACCCCCCCUCCUUUCUGAAUGCUCAUAAAUGGUAGUCAACCAGAAUCGCAGGCAUGGGGGGUGUUGCAAAAGAUGAGGGUGGAGGGUUACAAGAGCUCAAUGUAUCAUUAUUGAUAGGUGGCUGAACCUGAACGAACAAGGUCUCCCCUGCAGGGGGUGCAAAGAAAUAUGUGUUGCCAAACGUUUGGGGGGGGGGGGGGUCUGCAUAAAUCACUACUCAUGAGUAUGGGACAAGUGAUAUAUGGGAGUCGUCUCGUGAUAGUGGUCCCAUUAAGACUAUGCUUUGUACUCUCACGAAGGGAAGCGAUGUUCCUCAUAUGAUGAAAACGGCCAUUGUCGAUGAAGAAUAUGUAAGCUAACUGAACUAAGUGGAGUAGGUAAGUGAAGACGAAGCAGAUAAUAUUACAUCCUGUCUUGUUAGGUGGUUCUCAUGCCCACCAAGAGAUGAUGAUUAUAUUUAUUUAUUUAUUUAUUCAUUUAAUUAUGUUAAGGGCCCCCAUUGGAGGUUUUACAUAAUGGAGGGGCGAAACUUUGCUCUCUUUGCAGUUGCGACGAAUACUUCGCGUUACAGACCGUAAACAACAGCAGUAAUAACAGGACUAACACAGAGAGGAGUAACAUCAGAAAUAAGAAUAGGCUACAAUAAUCACAAAAUAUAUCAGACGGAAAGAAAACCAAUAAUGACGGUGGCUAGAGCAACAGAAGGAAACGAGAGAUGAUUUUAAUGGUAUGGGCGUGACUGCUUGAACCAGAGCAUUAUACAAUGCGUUACGCUAUGUAAAGUUGUGUAAUGGCAGCCUCGAAACGAGCAGAAUCAUGAAUAUAGACAAGAAAUUCCGGCCAAGUAUGCUCACCUGCUGUCUCCGUUUGCUCACUCAUGCUUUACUCAUUUGUCACAUUGAGCAAGAGUGAGCAUGCUCAUGAGUGUGGAUAAUUCAUGUUGUGUGUGUUGUCAUAUUCCACUUUUAGUAUACCCCAUAGGGCACGAGUUGAACUCCAGCAUUGCACUUCCUGUCUCCUGUUCCUUCUGGAUUUCCUUGCAAACAUUGUUUGAGACGUGAUGGCACCAUUACCUAUGAAGUUUGCAGAGGAGAAACUAAUGUGGGCCGCUUGCUGUGCAGCUCGGUAACAGAAUGAGUCAUGUCGCACUGUAGUGGUUUGGGUACUGUGGGGAAACAUACACAAGAGCGUGUGAUCUCGCGCAGUGCCUGCAUUAUGGGAAUAUGGCAGGAUUCCAAAUAUUUAACGGCAUAGAGGCAGCACGAGAUAGAGACAGCACUGGAUAGAAAAGUCUUUACUCCCUGAAAAGUUGAAUGAAGUGAGAACCAGGUUGGAGUAUCUUGCAGGAGGGCGAGGAAUGUGAAUGAGGUCCGGGACUGCGUACACAGAACCACAGACUUGGUGUCGUGGAUGCGUUCCAGAACAGCAAACCAGGUUCAGCUGUCAUGAGAUCAUGCCCGAGAGCAAGUGCCAGGAAGGAGCCACCAUUGAAAAGCCGGGAGCCAGUGUCCAGAAUCGAUGUUGCCGCUCUCCCACGAGCCAGACCACCAUCACGCUAGAACUGCGGCUGCCUCUUGCACUCUGGUUUGCUACCCAUUCGUCUUUUCAUCUCGUUCUCCUUGACCAUGACGCACACAGCACACUACUUCUAGCGUGUGAAAAGUGAGUGAGAAAAGCACGUGAAAAAUGGUGAGGUAAUCCCCUGAGUUGGUAUAUGCAUGCAUUAACCCCCAUAUAUGCAAGCACAAAUAGGAUAAUAUACUCAUAUUUCCCAAAACCAUAGCAGAACGGGACAGACUGCCAUCAAGAGCCUUUGACUCUGAAAGUAUAUCUAAUUCCUACCCAGACGCUUGAGGUUGUUUCUUGGUUUUAGCUAUAUCAUUAUCUUAUUAGUUACUUCUAAUGUUUAUAGUGCACUUUUGGUUUUUAUGCAUCUUGAAUAUCGGGUUUUAUUUGAGAAGCCGUAAAACAGGGUAAUGCCGGGAGGAAAAUAACAUAAAAGCACUUCCCACAUUUCAGAUGAAUACGAGACGGUGAGCCUCCGUCCCGAGUGUGCAGCACUUAGCGUUCUCUAUUCGUCAUAUGGGUGGCUGAGUUUGCACUUUGGCAACCUCAUUUUUGGGGUUUCUAAGGUUUUACUCAAUGUAGCAAUGAUGCAAACCUAGGGAAAAAUUGGGUUUUAUCUGGUUUAACCUUAAAGGGGCACGAAACAGCUCGACAACCAUUGUCCAAUUAUUAUGCUCCAUGAAAGAACGCAACUCACGGUAUCCGAAUACGAAAUUUAUUUACUUCUAGGCAGUAUCUUUACCAGGAAACAAUGCCACUCAACGAGCAUAAUCCGUGUGAUCCUCUCCUUCAUCCUUGGAACGGGGUCACGUCCACAAUGUUCCAACGUUUAGCAACACUGCAUUCCAGGCGCUGGAGGUGGGGGAGAUUUUGCUCUCAAGGCCAUUGACGGGCCCUACUGAGACAAGCUGCAACUCGUUAAGGAACCAGUUGAGGGAACAUCGUGCUGACCUCGCGCAGCAAUACAGCACCGAAAACAUAGCGCACACAUGAAAUGGAACAUUGCAGGCUUUUUGUACCGUUUGAUCUGGCUACCUUAGGAUUGACAGGUGGAAAGAUGUUUAGAAUUGACUUCACUUCCCGAUAUUACAACAAUAUCAGAGUAUAAGCAUUCUGCAUUUUGAAUGGUUGAUGGUACAUGACGUCAAACUGCCAUAUGACUAUUGCCGCCAGUGCAUCACAGAGCGGGGCACAAGCGCGAAAGAGUGCAGUGAAUAUUUGGUCUGUUUGGAGCCAUUAUUUACUUUUUCGUGGCAACAAUUUUAGGAAAAUGUUCACCAUCGGCAACAUAUCACAAUGCAUUAAAAAAAAGUGCACCUCCGAUGCACGUUUAUUGUUCCUCUAAAACAUGAGGCUGUAUGUGUACGUGCAGAGGUUGGUACUUGUGACUCCUGCUCACUCCUGCUCCUCAUCUCAGCUCCUGCUCAUCUCUCAGUUUGUUCACACAUGCUUUACUCAUUUGCCAUAUUGAGCAAGAGCGAGCAUGCUCGUGAGUGUGGUUUUUACCAAAUAAGCAGUUUGGACAUAUUUGUCGAGAAUGCCACAUUCUUCUGUGCAGUAGCUGUGGCCAUUUUGACCAUGAGACUGCCCCUUGCCCUCCAGAUAUUGAGAAGGGCUUCAUGGUCUAUUGCGAUGGUUAGGAUGAUAGUAGGGGGGAUCCACUUAGUGGUACUCAUCUAUCUGACCUGCAUAGUGCCUGCAGUAAUCCGGAGUCUUUUCAUUUCUGCUCAGCUCUCCGGUUGCUCACUCGUGCUCGCUCAUUCACUCACUCCCCGCUUCAUUCUUUGUCUGCUCACUGAGGCUAACAGUUCAUUCGCCACAUUGAGCAUGAGUGAGCAUGUCUAUGAGUUAGUUUUACCGAGGUAUGUGUGUGUUUAGUGCUGCCAGAUCGGUUCUUUGUGUGUAUCAGUGUCAGCACCUGUGCUUGGGCCCUUCUCUGCAAUAUUCUGUACAUAAAAUUAAAUAAAUAAACAUAGCAGCAACAUUAGACGUUCAAACCAGUCUGAAUCUGUUCAACAAAACAAAAGUUCCAGUUGGUUGACACUGGUCAAAAACAAGUGUGAUUUUAGUGAUGUUAUAUUGUAGAAAAUAUCUGGAGAAAUACGAACAACAGCAUAUAUAUGCAAGUUGAUUCAUGUUUGAAAUGGUGUUCAUGUUGAAAACAAACUGUCACUCCCUCCACAAGAAAUUUUGGGAUCACCUGAUACGCUAUGCCAAGAAUGCAAAAGUACUAAUUGUGGUAACAAGUGUGGACUAAUAUACAAUUUAUCUGCC